GUGUGAACAGCUGCCUGAGAAAGACACUCCCGGUGAAUGUGCGGUGGCUUCUGUGUGGUUGUCUUUGUUGCUGUUGCACACUGGGCUUCAGUUUGUGGCCCGUCAUCUGCCUCAGCAAAAGGACAAGAAGAUCUAUAGAGAAACUUUUGGAGUGGGAAAACAGCAGACUUUACCACAAGUUGUGUUUGCAUUGGAGACUAAGCAAAAGGAAGUGUGAAA